rnacentral:rRNA from 1 species
UACAGAGGUCUCAAGCGUUGUUCGGAUUCAUUGGGCGUAAAGGGUGCGUAGGUGGCGGGGUAAGUCAGGUGUGAAAUUUCGGAGCUCAACUCCGAAACUGCAUUUGAUACUGCCUUGCUUGAGGACUGGAGAGGAGACUGGAAUUCACGGUGUAGCAGUGAAAUGCGUAGAUAUCGUGAGGAAGACCAGUGGCGAAGGCGGGUCUCUGGGCCGAUACUGACGCUGAGGAGCGAAAGCGUGGGGAGCGAACGAGG